CAGCCGCCGCGGGAAUACGGAGGGGGCUAGCGUUGUUCGGAAUUACUGGGCGUAAAGCGCACGUAGGCGGCUUUGUAAGUUAGAGGUGAAAGCCCGGAGCUCAACUCCGGAAUUGCCUUUAAGACUGCAGAGCUAGCAGGUGAGAGAGGUGAGUGGAAUUCCGAGUGUAGAGGUGAAAUUCGUAGAUAUUCGGAAGAACACCAGUGGCGAAGGCGGCCAUCUGGGACAACACUGACGCUGAGGCACGAAAGCGUGGGGAGCAAACAGGAUUAGAUACCCCCGUAGUCCCUGUCUCUUAUAC
rnacentral:rRNA from 1 species